rnacentral:rRNA from 1 species
UACGUAGGGGCCUAGCGUUGUCCGGAUUUAUUGGGCGUAAAGAGCUCGUAGGCGGUUUGGUGAGUCGGGUGUGAAAUCUCCACGCUCAACGUGGAGGGGCCACCCGAUACUGCCAUGACUAGAGUCCGGUAGGGGAGUGUGGAAUUCCCGGUGUAGCGGUGAAAUGCGCAGAUAUCAGGAGGAACACCGGUGGCGAAGGCGGGUCUCUGGACAGUUCCUGACGCUGAGGCACGAAGGUCAGGGGAGCAAACGGG